CCAGGGCCUAGGAGCACAGCUGGGUCAGGUCCGCAGGUGCCACAGGAGGCAGCCAGCCAGCCCCAGUGAGGGCGCCCACCACCCUACAAGCAGCCUGGGGGCUCUGGGGAUGAGACCUGGUGGGAAUCUGCUCCCCAACCAGGGUCCCUGGUGGCUCUGUCCCAUCACUCGCCAGAGGCCCCAGGGCCCCAGUGCCCGGGACAAGCAUCGCCAUCCCUCUCCCCCUCCCCACCCAAGAGCUAUGACCAGGCGGUCCCCAUGGGACCCGGACCGAAGGGUAGGCAUCCUCGCCACAUGCCUGAGCCACAGGGGGCCCCGAAAGGUUGCAGCGUCCCCAAGGGUGUCCCUGAGAAAACAUCCUGGCCCAACACAGAUGCUGCCCCAGCUACAGCCCUGGGCCAUGGAGACCCAGAAAGUUUGGGCAGGAGUCCACAGCAGUCAGAUGUCAGGCACUGUAUCCUCUGGCCUGGCAAGGUGUGGCCCCGGGAGAGAAACCAGCCGAGGUUGCCUCGUGUGGAUGCAGGGAAGCAAUCAUGGCUUAGAAGUGGCUCUGUCUGAGGCCACAGCCCUGGGGGGUGAGGGGAUAGCCACCCUAGGGGAUCAGUCUAGAGCCCUCAGACCCUGUACUCUGCUCAGUUUCUGACAGAUCCCAUGGGGUCCCAUGCUGGCUGGAGCAUUGACUCCUCCUGAAGGAGGUUUCCCUUCCACCCACCAAUGCCCUUAGCUUGGGGCCAGGGCCCAGAAGGGGCAACAGCAGGGGAAAGCACAAGGGUCGCUGGGGACACUCACUCCUCUGUGUCCUGCUCAGGGGCCCCAACUUUGCCUUUGGUCUUGAUGAGGACCUGGAAGGAAAGGAUCACAGGUGUGGGCUUCGUGCAGUCCACAAGGGGUCCAAGGUCAGGGGACACCUGGACAGAGAUGGCUCCAAGGCCCCUUGGACCGCACCUGCCAACUCCACCCCCUGCCCCGCCUCCUCCAGGGAAUGGAUGGAGGCCAUGUGGUUACUAGAGAGACAGGACAACCCCUGGGGCUGCAUCUGGACCCCCCCCCCCAUCCCCGGCUGAUGGCCGGAGGAAGGGGUCCAGUUCCUCUGGGCCCAGCCCUCUUGUGGAGGCCAGGGGAGUGUAUGAAACAGGUGACCCCUUGGAGACCAGCUGUCACUUGCCGGGAAGGGUUGGGCCUUCCCAGGUGUGCAAGUCUGAGUGGUCUCGACCCAAGGCGGGGAGGGGGGGGGGCGGAGGGGGACACAGCACAGAGCGCAUCUGAGCAGCGAUGCCCAGGACGGAGGAUGUGCCCUGGGGUUCACAGUGCCAGUGAGCAUCACCUAGGGCCCCUCCUCUGCCUGGGUCACUUAGGCAUCACUGACCCUUGCCUCUCAGACCCCGCAGAGGGGCACGCUCCCCCUCAUCCUUAGGGUCCCUCCUGGUGCCCGCAGGGCCACCCUGCCAGAGACCUGCAGUCACAUUAGUGCCCUGCCUUCUCUGUCAAAGGCCAGCUUGGUGCCCUUUCCUCACAUUCCUUGCUGAUGGGGCAGGGGCUGGGCAGAGCAGCCCACACAUACCUGGGGCUUGGAAGCCGAGUCUGCCUCCCCCAGCAGCAGAGCCACCAGGCUGGCAACCAGGAGGAGCCUGAAGGGACCAGAGAGGAGAGUGAGAGGUAGGCCGGGGCUGCUCCUCUAGACAGGACAGCCAGGUGGGUGGCCUGGUGUCACUGGCAAUGUGGGUCCCAGCCAGGGAGGCCUGGGGCCAGGUUCACAGGUAGUUUAUUAUCUCCCCAUCUCACAGCCCAAGGACACACAGGCACAAAGAGGUGGGAUGGCCACAGGCCCACACCUGCCCCCAGGCCCCCUCAGACCGGGUACCACUGCACCCCACGUUCUGGACGGACCCCACGCUACCGGCCCCGGCCACCAGGUGGACCCUUCAGCUCCCAGCCUCUGUGCUGGUGGCUGCACGUGGAACCACACGCACCUCUUGGCCCGGGAGCGGUGUGCGCUCACAGCAUCCUCUGCUUAGGUGCCGGGGGGCUAGGACUUGGGGCGAGGCUCUCGGAGCGCUCAGUGCCCACGGCACCCCUGAAGCUAUGCGCCGCGGCUCCCUCAGGCCCCCCCAGGUCAGAGCUGUGGGUGCACAGUGUUGCCGGUACUGGGCAGGAAGCCCAGGAGGAGGCAGGUGGGAUGGGGCACUCUGCCCCGACACAUUCAGCCUGACCCCGAGGGAGGCCAGGAUGGCCACCAGGGCAGAGGAGGUCAAGGAUCAAGCCCCACGCAGGGAGUCCAAGGAGCAGCGGCCAAAGAUAAGAGACACAAAGGAACACACGCAGGACAGGUGAUCCAUGAACCCAACAGCAAAGGUCCUGGAAGCCUCACCCAAGAUGAGCAGGAGAACAGGGGGCGAGAGAGACUGGCGCAGUGAGUGUGGUGUGGUGCGUGUGCGUGUGUGGAUGGUGUGAGGGUGUGGUGGGUGUGUGGAUGGUGUGUGUGGAUGUGCGUGUGGAUGGUGGGAGGGUGUGAUGUGUUCGUGCGGUGUGUGGUACGUGGGGGGGGGGGGGUUGUGGGGGUUGUGCAUUUAUGAGCAUGUGUGUGCAUGUGUGUUGUUAAAAAACAAAACAGGCCCAGACUGGAAUCGCUCACGCUAAGCCCCGCAUCACCAACCUGAGGCCUAACGACAGGUUAGACUCCCCCAGAAAUGGAUCCUUACAGCAGUGAGGCAGGAACCGCCCAGCCCACACGGGGUAGGUCAUCUGAUCGGCCCCCACUGUCCCCUGAAGAAGAGCGACCCACCAACCCGCCUUUGCUACUGUAACCUGCUCGUCCGCUCCUUCCGCCUCUAAGUUUUCCAUCGUGUCCGGCCCGUCGAGCGCCUUCCUGUCUGCUGGGUGGGACGCCGCCCAAUUCUAACUGUGCUCAAAUAAACUCAAAAUGCUUCAUA